rnacentral:rRNA from 1 species
GACGAACGCUGGCGGCGUGCCUAACACAUGCAAGUCGAACGAGAUCCAUGGGAGCUUGCUCCCGGAAGAUCUAGUGGCGAACGGGUGAGUAACACGUGAGAAACCUGCCCUGGAGUGGGGAAUAACUCGGGGAAACUCGAGCUAAUACCGCAUACCCUCGGAUGGUCGCAUGGCCGACCGAGGAAAGAUUUAUCGCUCUAGGAGGGUCUCGCGGCCUAUCAGCUAGUUGGUGGGGUAACGGCCUACCAAGGCAACGACGGGUAGCUGGUUUGAGAGAACGAUCAGCCACACUGGGACUGAGACACGGCCCAGACUCCUACGGGAGGCAGCAGUGGGGAAUCUUGCGCAAUGGGCGAAAGCCUGACGCAGCAACGCCGCGUGCGGGAUGAAGGCCUCGGUUGUAACUAGCUUUGUACGGUAACGAAACGGACGAGCUCUAAUACAGUUGCUAAUGACGGUACCGUAAGAAU